rnacentral:rRNA from 1 species
GUCUAUGGCCAUGCUACCCUGAACAAGCCCAAUCCCGUCUGAUCUCGGUAGCUAAGCAGGGUUGGGCCUGGUUAGUACUUGGAUGGGAGACCAGGUGCUGUAGGCA